rnacentral:rRNA from 1 species
UACGUAGGUGGCAAGCGUUAUCCGGAAUUAUUGGGCGUAAAGCGCGCGCAGGCGGUUUCUUAAGUCUGAUGUGAAAGCCCACGGCUCAACCGUGGAGGGUCAUUGGAAACUGGCGAACUGGAGUGUGGCAGAGGGGGGUGGAAUUCCGCGUGUAGCAGUGAAAUGCGUAGAGAUGCGGAGGAACACCGAUGGCGAAGACGAUCAUCUGGGGUUGUUCUGACACUGAGGAGCGAAAGCUAGGGGAGCAAACGGG